AAAGGUAAGCUACUAAGAGCGAAUGGUGGAUGCCUUGACUGGUAAAGGCGAUGAAGGACGUACUAGACUGCGAUAAGCUACGGGGAGCUGUCAAGAAGCUUUGAUCCGUAGAUUUCCGAAUGGGGCAACCCAAUGUAUAGAGAUAUACAUUACCUAUAUAGGAGCGAACGAGGGGAAUUGAAACAUCUUAGUACCCUCAGGAAAAGAAAUCAAUAGAGAUUGCGUCAGUAGCGGCGAGCGAAAGCGCAAGAGGGCAAACCCAGUGCUUGCACUGGGGGUUGUAGGACUGCAAUGUGCAAGAGGUGAGUUUAGCAGAACAUUCUGGAAAGUAUAGCCAUAGAGGGUGAUAGUCCCGUAUGCGAAAAACAAACCUUAGCUAGCAGUAUCCUGAGUAGGGCGGGACACGAGAAAUCCUGUCUGAAGCUGGGUCGACCACGAUCCAACCCUAAAUACUAAUACCAGAUCGAUAGUGCACAAGUACCGUGAGGGAAAGGUGAAAAGAACUGAGGUGAUCAGAGUGAAAUAGAACCUGAAACCAUUUGCUUACAAUCAUUCAGAGCCCUAUGUAGCAAUACAGGGUGAUGGACUGCCUUUUGCAUAA
rnacentral:rRNA from 1 species